rnacentral:rRNA from 1 species
AACGAACGCUGGCGGCAUGCCUAACACAUGCAAGUCGAACGAGACCUCCCGGCCUUGUGGCGCACGGGUGCGUAACGCGUGGGAACUUGCCCUUAGGUUCCGAAUACCUCCCCGUAAGGGGUCUUCAUACCGGAUAAUGUCUUCGCACCAAAGAUUUACCGCUGUUGGAUGGGCCCGCGUUGGAUUAGCUGGUUGGUAGGGUACAAGCCGACUAAGGCGAGGUUCCAUAGCUGGUCGGUGAGGAGGAUCAGCCAGACUGGGACUGAGACACGGCCCAGACUCCUACGGGGGGCAGCAGUGGAGAAUAUUGGACAAUGAACGAAAGCCUGGUCCAGCAAUGCCGCGUAAGUGAUGAAGGCCGUAGGGUUGUGAAGCUCUUUUACCCGAGAUGAUAAUGACAGUACCGGGAGAAUAAGCACCGGCUAACUCCGUG